GAUGAACGCUGGCGGCGUGCCUAAUACAUGCAAGUCGAGCGCACGGACCCGAAGCUUGCUUCUCGGUUGUUAGGGGCGGACGGGUGUGUAACACGUGGAUAACCUACCUAUAAUUCUGGGAUAACUUCGGGAAACCGGUGAUAAUACCGGAUAAGAUCUUGAACCGCAGGGGUCAAAAGUGAAAGACGGUCUUGCUGGCACUUAUAGAUGGAUCCGCGCUGCAUUAGCUAGUUGGUAAGGUAACGGCUUACCAAGGGAACGAUGCAUAGCCGACCUGAGGGGGUGAUCGGGCACGCUGGAACGGGGACACGGUCCAGGCUACUACGGGAGGCCGCAGUAGGGAAUCUUCCGCAAUGGGCGAAAGCCUGACGGAAGGACGCCGCGUGGGUGAUGAAGGUGCUCGGUUCGUAAAACUCGGUUGUUAGGGAAGAACAUAUGUGUAAGUAAAUGUGCAUAUCUUGACGGUAGCGAAUCAGAAAGCCACGGGUAAAUACGUG
rnacentral:rRNA from 1 species